rnacentral:siRNA from 1 species
CACAAGCUUUCAGGAAAUAUGAA